rnacentral:rRNA from 1 species
UACGUAGGGUGCGAGCGUUGUCCGGAAUUACUGGGCGUAAAGAGCUCGUAGGUGGUUUGUCACGUUGUCCGUGAAAACUCACAGCUUAACUGUGGGCGUGCGGGCGAUACGGGCAGACUGGAGUACUGUAGGGGAGACUGGAAUUCCUGGUGUAGCGGUGGAAUGCGCAGAUAUCAGGAGGAACACCGGUGGCGAAGGCGGGUCUCUGGGCAGUAACUGACGCUCAUGCACGAAAGCGUGGGGAGCAAACAGG